GAUGAACGCUGGCGGCGUGCCUAAUACAUGCAAGUCGAGCGGACAGAUGAGGAGCUUGCUCCUCUGACGUUAGCGGCGGACGGGUGAGUAACACGUGGAUAACCUACCUAUAAGACUGGGAUAACUUCGGGAAACCGGAGCUAAUACCGGAUAAUAUAUUGAACCGCAUGGUUCAAUAGUGAAAGACGGUUUUGCUGUCACUUAUAGAUGGAUCCGCGCCGCAUUAGCUAGUUGGUAAGGUAACGGCUUACCAAGGCAACGAUGCGUAGCCGACCUGAGAGGGUGAUCGGCCACACUGGAACUGAGACACGGUCCAGACUCCUACGGGAGGCAGCAGUAGGGAAUCUUCCGCAAUGGGCGAAAGCCUGACGGAGCAACGCCGCGUGAGUGAUGAAGGUCUUCGGAUCGUAAAACUCUGUUUUUAGGGAAGAACAAAUGUGUAAGUAACUAUGCACGUCUUGACGGUACCUAAUCAGAAAGCCACGGCUAACUACGUG
rnacentral:rRNA from 1 species